GAACAAUGCGGGAGUUGCAGAGAGAGGUGUCCUGUGUUUGUUCCCAGUCUUCCUUCACUCACCUGCACCUGCUCCUGCCCUGCUUCGGCCAACAUGUUCUAUGCAGGGUGGUUUUGCUGAUGAGACAGCUGCAGUUUGGGGAGUGUGAUAUCAAGGAAAGCAGUGUCUUGAGUCUGUCACUUUCUCUCUCUGUCCCAUUGGGUCUACUCUGUGAAAAGGAAAUGAUCAUACAUAAUUCAUGCAUUUGCUGUACGGAUUUAAUUAAAUGAUAGACAAAAAGUAGAGUGGCACAAGUCAAACUCAAAAAAUAGUAACAACAAAAUCAAUUUCAAAAUAAGCAACAGCAAUAAAUGUUACCUACUAUUUUACGAAUGAAAAUACUGAGACCAAUAAAGGCAUUAUAGUAUACAUAGCCUUGGAAUCAGAAGACCAAGAACAUACAAGAGAACAUAGCCUUGGAAUCAGAAGACCAAGAAACAAUUUAACUCUGCCCCUCUAGAGCUCUGAGAACUUGGGCAAGCCUUUUACCCUCUGUGAGUUUCAGUUUCCUCAUUUAUUUAAUUGAAAUAAUAAUACAGAUCACCUGAAAUGUAAUGAAAAUUAAACAUCCUUAUGUAGGUGAAACCAACUGGCAGCAUGCCUGGAAUAUAGUGAGUGCUCAUUCGGUCUCUUGUAUUUUCUUUCUAUACCCUACUUCUGUUCCCUUGGAUUCAUAUACCUGAAUUGGAAACACCCAAAGUCAAAAAGAAUAAGAAAAAUCUUUAGAAAUGUAGCAUAUUACCAAGAUCUGCAAAUUUCUGCCCAGAGCAGAUGGUUCUAAUAAAGAAAGUCGGAUCUUAUGUUGAGUUCUUUUCUGUCCAAGAAUAGAAGACCUUCCCUCUUCUCCAGUAGUGAAGAAUAGGAUUCAUCAGCCUUGGGGGCAAAGUUAAAAACUUGCUCUAGAAAGUGGCCUGGAUAGUCAGAAACUGCUUAGACUCACUCCAUCUGUUCUAUACACAUACACACACCUUUGUUUGUCAGUAAAAUAUUCAAUGAGACUUGAUAGUCCAAUCCUUUGAAACCAGAAUAAUAUUUGAAAUUUUGAUGAUUUUAUCUAACUGCUAAUAUCACUUGCAGGUCAUCAGUGUUUUACAUCCAACAAACUAAUGGUCAUUUGCUGCUUUAUAAAGAGCCGAUAUAAUUUUGUCUUCCUUGUUAUUAAAGGAUCAAGCAAGGGUGUUUCUGUACCAGUUCAACUUUCCUUAUUUGCUUAUUAGUCAGUAAUAUUCAAGAAAAUCCUAGUUUUAAAAAAUGUCAUUACAUGUUAAACUGUGGAAAGAGUCACCAUCAUUUGAAUAAAUCUUGAGUAAGCCCA
rnacentral:lncRNA from 1 species